rnacentral:rRNA from 1 species
ACAGAGACGGCGAGCGUUGUUCGGAUUCAUUGGGCGUAAAGGGUGCGUAGGCGGUCAGCUAAGUCGGAUGUGAAAUCCCCGAGCCUAACUCGGGACGGUCAUUCGAAACUAGCUGGCUCGAGGACUGGAGAGGAGACUGGAAUGGUCGGUGUAGCGGUGAAAUGCGUAGAGAUCGACCAGAACACCAGUGGCGAAGGCGGGUCUCUGGACAGUUCCUGACGCUGAGGCACGAAAGCCAGGGGAGCAAACG